AAGGAGAAGUCGUAACAAGGUUUCCGUAGGUGAACCUGCGGAGUUUUCUAGCACAUUGCAUCCCUUGGGAUCGUUUGUACUUUGCGUUUCUAGCACAACAUAAAAAUCCGGCGCGAUUAGCGUCAAGGAAAUCUUAGCGGAAACAAAGCGUUGUGCCUUCACUGGCAUAACGUCAAGAAUCCCAUUACUCAAACGACUCUCGGCAACGGAUAUCUCGGCUCUUGCAUCGAUGAAGAACGUAGCGAAAUGCGAUACUUGGUGUGAAUUGCAGAAUCCCGUGAACCAUCGAGUUUUUGAACGCAAGUUGCGCCCGAAACCUUUAGGUUGAGGGCACGUCUGCCUGGGCGUCACACACAGCGUCGCUCCCCACCAACCUAGUUGUUGGAGAGCGGAGAUUGGCCCCCCGAGUCCUUUGGACACGGUCGGCACAAAUAUUGGUCCCCGGCAGCGAGUGUCGCGGUCAGCGGUGGUUUAUAUCCUCCAAAGACAAAAUGACGCGUGCCUUGUUGCAUGUUGGAUCGAAACGACCCUCGAAAGCCAUUUAUGGCAUUCACCCUGCGACCCCAGGUCAGGCGGGAUUACCCGCUGAG
rnacentral:rRNA from 1 species